CACUAAAAAGCACCCGAUUCCCGGCGGUGAUCGUGUAUGUUCGGAGAAAAAUUCGGUCCUUUGACGGAAUGACAAGAAUAACGACACGAAUGUUCCCGCGUUUGUUAGUUGUUUACUUACGUAAAAAAGCUCCAACUAAUUUGAUCAAUUAUUGCGAUUAUACUGAAUUUGUUUCUUUGUGAAAUAUUGACCAUAUUGUUGCUUAUAGUGUUUUAAAAUAAUACCUGAAAAGCUGUAUCAAUUCCAAUUCAGCGAUUUUAGCUGUAAAGAUGGACGGCCCUACUCAAAACUAUCAGAAUCAGGACCAAACUAUCAACAAAAAUUUGUGCCACUUAUGCAGUAAAAUGUUUUCUUCCAUUUCAGCAUUGAACAAACAUAUUAAAGUUAUUCAUAAGCAGCAGCUCCCAGAUAACCCAAAGUCACACAUUUCUUGUCCCUUAUGCAAAGAGACUAAGUAUUCUUGUGAGACUUAUUAAAGACUUGAAGCUCAUUUACAGGUUAAGUCAUGAUAUCAAAAUAGAGUCCUCAACUUUCUAUUUUUCCAGUGAAGAAACAUUUGAGGAAUGGUUAAGAGAGCAUAAAAUAAGCACAAACUAUGCACUUGUUCGCACAAGGAAAAUUGAAGACAAGAUUAAAAAAGUAUAUUGUUGCAAUCGAAGUGAUUUUAGAGGUAAUUUGUAGCAAUUUCAAUUGUUCAUUAUGGUAUGUGAGCAAAGGAAGGGAAGCGAUUCUGUUUUAGGUGAACUCCUCGGGCAAUGUUCUUUCAAUAAUAUUGAAGCUAGCCAUAGUCUAGAAAUUGAAACAUUUGUUAAUGAAAAGACAACUAAAAAUCAACAAGUAGCAGUACAACGAUUGAACAAGCAAUCAACAAGAGAAAUUGAAAGUGUAUCAAACUUUUUAAGAUCUUUAAAUGAUGAAACUUAUGAUAAGUGCAUGAGACAACUGACAUCAAUGUUGGAACAGAUAAAUAAGACAAAUACAAGUAAACGAAAAAUGGACAAACAAGUUUAUUUUCCAUCAAAGAAGAAGAAGGAGCAGUAAAUAAAAAUAAUUAAAUGUAUAUUUUUUCUAUUUAUCAGUAUUUUUUUUUAUAUAAUAGUAGGUAUAUUUUUAUAGGUUUUAACUAUAUAUGUAUGUAUAUGUGUAUUAUAAUUUUUUAUGUAAGUUUUAGGCAAAUAUUUGAAGUAAAUAUUUUAAGUUUCUUGCAGUUUCUUCUUAUGAGUAUUAAUCGAAACUGCGAAUUGUAAAUUAGUAUUUUAGCAUAAAAUAAUUAAGUUUCUUUUCAAAUCAGUCAUAAACAUGUCUUUGCAGCAUUUAUAAAAUAAAAAUUGUUAAUAUAUGAUACAUUUAUAUAACAGUAUAACUAAUUAAA